GAGGGUAUAGCUCAGUGGUAAAGUGCAUGCCUAGCAUGCACGAGGUCCUGGGUUCAAUCCCCAGUACCUCCA
rnacentral:tRNA from 1 species